AGAACUUUGUUGGGAAGGGCAGGCAUUGAGGCAAAUAUGCUCUUUUUUUCUUUUAGUCAGGCCAUGAUUGGGGCCAAUGAAGGUUAUUAGAAAGCACCCAACGAUUCUCUGCAAUAGGAUUAAGUAGUUCAAAAUAGUUAUCAUGGCUUGCUUCUGUCACUUAUUUUAUUUCCCAACAUUUUUUAAGUGUAUCAAAAUUAGGACUGUGCACUAAAAAUGUGAAAUACUAUUUUUCAGACUCAAAAACUAUAAAUUUAACAAGAUGGCUUAAUCUCCAUUUAGGUGUGAAAUCCCCAUGAACUCAGUGUUCUCAAGUUUUUUCCCUAUGCUUUGGACCAAAUCAUCUUAACCCACUUCAUACAAAACAUUAAAAUAUUUAUAUAGCAAUCAGGGAAAAAGUGGAGAGAAUUUGGAAGAAGGUUUUUUUUUUUGGUCUUUUUGCUAUUUCUUGGGCCGCUCCCACGGCAUAUGGAGGUUCCCAGGCUAGGGGUCUAAUCGGAGCUGUAGCCACUGCCCUACGCCAGAGCCACAGCAACGCGGGAUCCGAGCCGCGUCUGCAACCUACACCACAGCUCACGGCAACGCCGGAUCGUUAACCCACUGAGCAAGGGCAGGGACCGAACCCGCAACCUCAUGGUUCCUAGUCGGAUUCGUUAACCACUGCGUCACAACAGGAACUCCGAGAAGUCUUAAUUGUAUAAAUUAUACAAAUAAAAUAAUGUUAUUUUAGUGAAAAAUGAGCUUACUUUUGUAAAUAUAUUUAAGUGAAAGUUAUACAUCCUUAAUAUAGCUACAAGAUAUUCUAGAUGUAGAGUUUUUGAUUAUGAUAUUUUCAAUGUCAUCAUAGCCACUAUGCGCAAACUUUGAACAAAUUAGUAAAUGGGAGCAAACAUUAAACUCUUACUUUUUUAAAGUUGAAGUACAGUUGAUUUACCAUGUUGUGUUAGUUUCAAGUGUAUGACACAGAAAAUCGGUCUUAUCAUAUCUGUAUCUAUUUCUAUAUAUAAUAUGUAUAUAUUCUUUUUAAGAUUAUUUUUCCUUUACAGGUUAUUAAAAAAUAUUGAGUAUAGUUCCCUGUGUUAUACAGUAGGCCCUUAUUGGUUAUCUAUUUUAUAUAGUAGUGUGUAUAAAUGAAUCUCAUCCUCCUAGUUUACCCCUCCCCCACUUACCCUUUGGUAACCAUAAGUUUGUUUUCUAUGUCUGUGGGGAAAUUUGUUUCUUUUUUUUUUUCAGAUUCCACAUAUAACUAACAUUAUAUGAUAUUUGUCUUUGGCUUAAUUCACUUAGUAUGAUAAUCUCUAGGAGAUGUAUCUAUAUAUCUCUAUGUAGAGAUAUAUAAAAUGGAGUAAUACUCAGCCAUUAAAAAAUAAUGAAAUAAUGCCAAUUGCAACGACAUGGAUGGACCUAAAAACUCUUACUUUUAAUAAGAAUUCAGUUAAUUUGAUCUUAAAUGAUACGGGGUGAUUACUUUUUAAACUUAAGAACUCUUCCAUUUCCUUCUUGACAUAUGGAACAUUGAAAUUGAAAUUUCUGGUGAUCAUAUUAAAGGAUUUUGAAUUCAAUCACUUUUUAUAACAAAUAUUGCCAAAUAAAGAAAAAUCCCUACUUUCAAUAAUUUUGUAAGAUUCAGUAAGUUUACUUAGUGUUUAUAACUGAUGAGUUAUUUUACCGUCAUUUACUGAAUUUUCAGUUCAACUCCACAAACUUUAUUAGCACAUGGUAAUGUAGUUAGUUACACAUGGACAUUGCCUACUUUUAGUUAAUUUUAUUGUGAUGCUGAAAAAUAUAAAAGUGUCUUUUUUUAAACCAAAAGCUAUACUUCAAUUUUUUUCAAGUUUUUUCCUCGUAAACACUUGAAAUUCUUUGACAAUCAAUGAGAGUAUUCUGGUUCUAUUUCUUCAUUUCACAUUCAAAACAGAAAUGAUUAGAAUGGCCUAGCUUGUAUAGAUUAACUACUAUGAUGUUUUUUAAUAGUCAGACGGACAAACUUUAUAUGCAAGACUUUCUCUGAGAAUAAAACAAUUCAUUUAUUUGAAUAUGUUGAUAUAUAUUUCUAUCAAUAUCUAAUUUAUUCCAUUUCCAUAUUUCAUAUUUUAAAAAUAUUCAUUUACCACUUUGAAUAUUUCAUCACUGAUGCUUUUAUUUUGCUACUCCCUUAAAGAGUAAUCAUUUAUGCUAAUCUUAAAUUCUAACUAAGCUAUAAGCUAAGCACAGUUAUUAAUGUCUAUAGAUGCAUCAAUAUGUAGUGAAAACAUUUUUCCCAAUUCAAUAAUUAAGUUAUCAUUUUAUACAUUGUCAUUUUAUCUACUAAGGGUGUUAUUCAGAAGUGGCAUCUUUUCUGCUUACCUUGUCUUUAGUUUAAAAACAUAUAGUCUAGGAAAACGAGCAACUCUGUGGAGUUCCCACUGUGGUUCAGAGUUCAUGAACCCAACUACUAUCCAUGAGGACACAGGUUCAAUCACUGACCCUGCUCAGUGGGUUAAGGAUCCAACAUUGCCCUGAACGUGGUUGAGGUCUCAGAUGCAGCUUGGAGCUGGCAUUGCUAUGGCUGUGGUGUAGGUCAGCAGCUGCAGCUCCAAUUUGACUCCUAGCCUAGGAAC
rnacentral:lncRNA from 1 species